UACGUAGGGGGCGAGCGUUGUCCGGAAUUAUUGGGCGUAAAGAGCGUGUAGGCGGUUCGGUAAGUCUGCCGUGAAACCUGGGGCUCAACCCCGGGCGUGCGGUGGAUACUGCCGGGCUAGAGGGUGGUAGAGGCGAGUGGAAUUCCCGGUGUAGCGGUGAAAUGCGCAGAUAUCGGGAGGAACACCAGCGGCGAAGGCGGCACUCUGGGCUGGAACUGACGCUGAGGAGCGAAAGCGUGGGUAGCGAACAGG
rnacentral:rRNA from 1 species